rnacentral:rRNA from 1 species
AACGCGAAGAACCUUACCAGGGUUUGAUAUGCAGGUGGCGACGGCAGAAAUGUCGUUUUCCCGCAAGGGACGCCUGCACAGGUGCUGCAUGGCUGUCGUCAGCUCGUGCCGUGAGGUGUUUGGUUAAGUCCAGCAACGAGCGCAACCCUUGUCUUCAGUUGCCAACACGUAAUGGUGGGCACUCUGAAGAGACUGCCUGGGUUAACCAGGAGGAAGGUGAGGAUGACGUCAAGUCCGCAUGGCCUUUAUGCCCUGGGCCACACACGUGCUACAAUGGCCGGUACAGAGGGCAGCAAUACCGCGAGGUGGAGCAAAUCCCAAAAGCCGGCCCCAGUUCAGAUUGGAGUCUGCAACUCGACUCCAUGAAGCCGGAAUUGCUAGUAAUGGCGAGUCAGCCACAUCGCCGUGAAUACGUUCCCGGGCCUUGUACACACCGCGAGC